AACCUAGCACACCUGCGGUGUGUACCUGCGGAAGGAUCAUUAAUGAUUGACCGAAAGGUCCUAUCUUAACAUCCCUCACCUCUGUGAACCGUUUGACCUCCGGGUCUAACAAACUAUACAAACAUCAGUGUAAUGAACGUCUUGUUAUCUUAACAAAAACAAAACUUUUAACAAUGGAUCU
rnacentral:misc_RNA from 1 species